AGUUUUUUUUUUUUUUUUUUUUUUUUUUUCCUCCAA
rnacentral:ribozyme from 1 species